UACGGAGGGUGCAAGCGUUAUCCGGAUUUAUUGGGCGUAAAGAGCUCGUAGGCGGCUCGUCGCGUCGACCGUGAAAACCCGCGGCUUAACUGCGGGCUUGCGGUUGAUACGGGCGGGCUAGAGUUCGGUAGGGGAGACUGGAAUUCCUGGUGUAGCGGUGAAAUGCGCAGAUAUCAGGAGGAACACCGGUGGCGAAGGCGGGUCUCUGGGCCGAUACUGACGCUGAGGAGCGAAAGCGUGGGGAGCGAACAGG
rnacentral:rRNA from 1 species